CCAUCGUCAUUAUUAUUUUCUGCAACAUAAAUCGAACUAUGCAACUCACAUAAAUGCAAUUUGUUCAUUGCCUCGCGUGUCGGUAGUUUUAAUGCUUAUGCACAAGUUGUCAAAAGUUUCAUAUUUUAUAUUAGAGUUGUGUUGAAUGUAUUAUACAAGGUAGGUUACAGUUGCUCUCUGAGUUGUGUUGUGCCUAGAUAAGGUAGAAGUUAUGUCCUAACAUGAGAAUUGUAUACUAGGCCUCCUAUAUAGUAUGAAGUAGUCUCUUCUAGAAAAGGAUUUCGCCCCACCUUAUAAAUAAAACCAACAUCACAUCCAUACAAGAGCUAAAUAUUAAACAAAGAAGAGAAUCCUGCUGGGGAAUCAUCACAAAUACGCCAAAGAAAAGCAUAAAAGAAAUAUAAAAAAACGUCCUCCAAGUGGCCGUAAUAUUAGGAAUGAAUCUUCAAAAACGCCAAUAAGGCAAUGAAAAAUUCAACACCCAGGGAUUGAACUAUUUCCUCGUCUACCUUCACUUCUCCAAUAUUUAUACUCUUUCCUCAUAGUUUUUGUACUAAUAUGGGAAGGUGACAUCGCUUCUCACGGCCACGCCCAUCAUAUGGCUGCUAAUAUGGACAUAAACAUGCUUGGCCAAAC
rnacentral:lncRNA from 1 species